rnacentral:tRNA from 1 species
GUGGUGUAGUUGGUCAUUAUACCAGUCCCACACACUGGUGGUCCCUGGUUCGAGCCCGGGCCA